GAUGAACGCUGGCGGCGUGCCUAAUACAUGCAAGUCGAGCGAACAGACGAGGAGCUUGCUCCUCUGACGUUAGCGGCGGACGGGUGAGUAACACGUAGAUAACCUACCUAUAAGACUGGGAUAACUUCGGGAAACCGGAGCUAAUACCGGAUAAUAUAUUGAACCGCAUGGUUCAAUAGUGAAAGACGGUUUUGCUGUCACUUAUAGAUGGAUCCGCGCCGCAUUAGCUAGUUGGUAAGGUAACAGCUUACCAAGGCAACGAUGCGUAGCCGACCUGAGAGGGUGAUCGGCCACACUGGAACUGAGACACGGUCCAGACUCCUACGGGAGGCAGCAGUAGGGAAUCUUCCGCAAUGGGCGAAAGCCUGACGGAGCAACGCCGCGUGAGUGAUGAAGGUCUUCGGAUCGUAAAACUCUGUUAUUAGGGAAGAACAAAUGUGUAAGUAACUAUGCACGUCUUGACGGUACCUAAUCAGAAAGCCACGGCUAACUACGUG
rnacentral:rRNA from 1 species